CCAGUGAUUAGAUUUUAAAACAAUAAUUAUUUUCCUUACAUGGAUACGGAAGACAGUGCCUCUCAAGGAGAAAAAGGUCUGGAAAUGUGUGCAUAGUUCAGUGACAUAAAAUACACAAAUUUAAGUCACGUGACUUGGAUGCUUUGCAUCUUUCUGUAACAGCUUUUUGCCAGUAAACUGACUCUUUCUUUGAUGUGGCUAUUUAAUCAAGCCUGUUUUUCCCAAAUAAAGAUGUAUUUGCUACUUUGCUUUAUGGGAAAUUACCCCUAUAAUCAGCACACUUAAAAGUUUUAAGACAAAGGGGAAAUUAAUGGGUAUUUAUUCCCCAGUUUUCAGUAUGUCCUUUUAUGUUCUGGGAGAACUGUUCUCCUUGACUUUCCUAAUUUUAAGUGUCAUUCUAGCAAAUCGUUGAUUCCUACAUAGUCACUGAAUUAUCACCAACACAUCAGGUAUGUUCAGUUAGCAGAUGAUGAUA
rnacentral:lncRNA from 1 species